rnacentral:sRNA from 1 species
UAGACAUGGGGAGUGCAGAGGGGAUUCCCCUCGCCGGUUUCAGGGGGGUGCUCAGACUGCGAUAGCAGUCGUCGAAGGGGAC